GCCAGAGUGCAGAAUAACUGAUUCAUUUAUGAACGCUCAACACCUGUUGAAUAUGGCUGGUGUCAGUAAACGUCAACAAAAAUUAAUUGAACUAAAUUGUUCCCAGGAGUACAGUUACAGUUACCAACACUCUGGAUAACAUGAACACAGCCUAACCAGCUCUGCUAGGACAAGUAAAAUGGUCAGAGUUUGGGUGGGGGCUAAAGCUUAAGAUGAUUCUUAUGGCAUUGGUCUGUGUGAAUCAGAGUGACUUGACAUAACGGGCCAAGUAAACUGUACAAACAAAACGGGACAUCUUAUUUAAUGAAAAGGGUUGCAGUCUGCCAUGAAGCGUUCAUCCAUGUAUAUGGAUGGUCUGCCUGUACAAGCACCACCUGGACUGGACACAGCUAGACAAACAUAUCAUUUUGAGAAGAUCAGGGAGUUUUGCGAUGACGAGGCAAUGGACAUCACAUGCCCUGCACCAAAGUCAAGGCCAGGACAGAAACAGGCUCUCCGAAUAUAGAUUCUUGUUCAUGUGUGGUUCGGACAGACUAGUUCAUCACUGGGGGCGAGUUCCCAGUCGUCACUACUAUCUGCAGUGGCUCUUUUCAAAUGAUUCUCUCCUAACACACGCCAUAUGUUGCUGGUGCAAUUUUUUUUUAUCCUGCUGCUCAGACACUUUACCCCUGAUUGUAUGCUUAUAACUACCUCAUCCAUCACUGAUAUUGUUAUUGAUAUUGUUCUUGUACAUACUGUAUAUUAUUUUCUUUAUACUGACACUAUUUGUUCAUGAUAUUGCUACUAUGCAAGUAACCAUUUCUCUGCACCAUUUACACCUGUAGAGACCCAUCGACUUAGCAAGAUGUGGCUGGGGGUUAUAGCAUUUCUUUCACAUGAGCCAUGAAUUUAGAGUAGUGUGUCUGGGUAAUCGUCAUCUAAUAUUUAUACAAUAUUUAUAUCUGGACACUUUCUGUUUACCUGGAAUUUUUCCUUAUUGUAGGCUACUACUUUUACAUUGUUAGUCUUAAUCUUUACUACACUACUCAAUGUUUAGCACAUGACCUCACAUGUGAAUCCUUAAAGAGAUGGAUGGGGCUGGCUUAUGAGGGUGUGAACAAUGCUGAAUCGGUGUAGACAAAGGAGAGCUCUCCAGUAGGUACCAAAAAUAUUCAAAGUCCAUUUUCUCAAAAGUGAGGUUAGAAGUUUAUCAACUUUCAAAGCAGAAUUACUUUCCCAUUGUUCCUAAAAUGCGAUGCAUGAUAUACCAUUGUGUAGCUCUGUAUCUCUGCUUUAUCCAAUGUAAAAAUCACAAUUUCAAAUUUUGCUACAUGAGACCGAAUCAAGGCGGUUGGUCACAAAUGUGGAAAAAGUCAAGGAGUCUGAACACUUUCCGAAUGCACUGUAUAUGGACUGUUAAGUGACAAAAAUCUGGGGUUAAAUACAUGUAGAAAAAAAAACAUGUUACCUGAUCUUAUAUCUCUCAGAUAUAGGAUAGACACUUCAGAACAAACUUAGUUUAGAUUUUUUGGGUGGGACUAUCUGUUGUUCCUGCUAAUAGCAUUAAGGUCAAAUACAUAUUUUCAUUAAAAAAACUAACAUUUGAUAUAUUCUUUUCAUACUUCAAGAGGUCUUAAAAUUCAAAACUUAACAGUUUAGGAAGAACCAAUUAACCUGUUGGGGCUACAGGUUAGCAAUGAACCCCGAGACGGGAUUGCUAACAAGGCUGGAAAUUCAAAACAUCAAAAAUCUAAUAAUUUCAAUUUCUCAAACAAUCAACUAUUUUACACAAUUUAAAAGAUAAACAUCUCCUUAAUCUAACCACAUUGUUCGAUUUUCAAAGAGGCUUUACGGCAAAAGCAUAAAGUUAGAUUAUGUUAGGACAGUACAUAGCCACAAAAGUACAAACAUCCAGUUUCAAUUCAAGGUCAGGCGUCACCAAAAGCAGAAACCAGCUAAAAUUAUGCACCAACCUUUGACAAUUUCCAUCAGAUGACAGUCCUAGGACAUUAUGUUAUACAAUACAUGCAUUUUUUGUUCCAUCAAGUUCAUAUUUAUAUCCAAAAACAGCAUUUUACAGUAGCGUGAAAUUCAGAUUUUUUUCUUCUCUGAAAUGCUUCCGGUGAACAUAACAAAAUUACUAUUCGAAAACAUUGGUAAAUUAUAAUAUUGUCAUUCAAAGAAUAAUAUAUUAUCAUCUCGUAAUUGCUACCGAAUGGCCAGAUCUCAAAAUAACUUUACUGGGAAAUCACAUUUUGCAAUAAACGGGGUGCUAUGCUAAGAACAAUAGUCUGUCAUAUUCUGACAAACAAUAAUUUUGUCAUAAACAUUGUCUGGUAAGCCCCACCUCCGGGCCUAAUAAACAACAGGGCUAAAUCAAUAGCUAGACUCACUCACUCACUCACUCACACUUUGUCUCUCUUUCACAAACAAACACACAAGCGCACAUGCACAAACACAUGUUCUCUCUCUCUCUCACACACACAUACUCACACACACUAAAAUAAUCCAUGUAAUGGAUUUCUGCCUGAGUUGAUUCAGGUCACAGGGUUACCUGGCACCUCUGGCAAACUGUAUUCUUUACAUUCUAAUAUUGUCAUAACCAUUUCCAUUUUCACUUGGCUAGCUGCUGGUGACAGGUCAGUCAGAGGACUCUGCUCAGCGACAGGAGGGUUUAGCUGUAGAUGAAGCAUGAUGAAGAAUGAGUUUUCACCUUAUUGACACGUACACCAGGGUUACUUCACCAAGCCUUUCCUUUUCCAGUCACUCUCAAUGGUCUGUGUUUCUAUACUAAGGUUUCCCAAACUGUGAAUAUGUGGUAUAGUUUUAUGAUGGUAUGACUGGCAAUUAUGAUAUAGGGCUUAAUGUGUGAGUUUUUCCUCUGUUGACACAUAAAUCAAUGUUACUUUACCAACCCUUCCUUUUCCUGUCACUCAGUCUCCUUUCUGUCUCUAUACCAGCCUUUCCCAAAGCUGUGGGUGACGUUAGUCCAGGUGGGUGGUGGGAUGACUGACAUUUUUGACACACAUCAAAUAUUCCCUUUCCAGUCACUCACAUUGCUCUCUCUCUCUCUCUCUCUCUUUAAAUCAGUGCCCUCCAAACUGUGGGUGAUGGUGGUUCAGUUGGGUCGUAGAAUAAGUUAGGAAUAUUACCAUCCAGGCCUAAAAAUUUAGACCGUGAAGUUCAUAGAUUGACAUAAAAAGAUUGAUAUUCUCACUUUGCAUAUUUUCCUACUCUUACAUCUAGACGUUCCGCUAGCGGAACACCUGCUCCAAUAGCCAAUGAUAGGCGUGGCGCGAAUUACAAAUUCCUCAAAAAUACAAAAACUUCAAUUUUUCAAACAUAUGACUAUUUCACAGCAUUUUAAAGACAAGACUCUCCUUUAUCUAACCACACUGUCCAAUUUCAAAAAGGCUUUACAGCGAAAGCAAAACAUUAGAUUAUGUCAGCAGAGUACCAAGCCAGAAAUAAUCAGACACCCAUUUUUCAAGCUAGCAUAUAAUGUCACAAAAACCCAGAAGACAGCUAAAUGCAGCACUAACCUUUGAUGAUCUUCAUCAGAUGACACACCUAGGACAUUAUGUUAUACAAUACAUGCAUAUUUUGUUCAAUCAAGUUCAUAUUUAUAUCAAAAAACAGCUUUUUACAUUAGCAUGUGACGUUCAGAACUAGCAUACCCCCCGCAAACUUCCGGGGAAUUUGCUAACAAUUUACUAAAUUACUCACGAUAAACGUUCACAAAAAGCAUAACAAUUAUUUUAAGAAUUAUAGAUACAGAACUCCUCUAUGCACUCGAUAUGUCCGAUUUUAAAAUAGCUUUUUGGUGAAAGCACAUUUUGCAAUAUUUUAAGUACAUAGCCCAGCCAUCACGGGCUAGCUAUUUAGACACCCGGCAAGUUUAGCCUUCACCAAUAUCAGAUUUACUAUUAUAAAAGUUUGAUUACCCUUUGUUGUCUUCGUCAGAAUGCACUCCCAGGACUGCUACUUCAAUAACAAAUGUUGGUUUGGUCCAAAAUAAUCCAUCGUUAUAUCCAAAUAGCGGCGUUUUGUUCGUGCGUCCCAGACACUAUCCGAAAUGGUAAAUCAGGGUCAUGCGCAUGGCGCAAUUCGUGACAAAAAAUGUCUAAAUAUUCCAUUACCGUACUUCGAAGUAUGUCAACCGCUGUUUAAAAUCAAUUUUUACGCAAUUUAUCUCGUAAAAAAGCGAUAAUAUUCCGACCGGGAAUCUCCUUUUCGGCAAACAGAGGAAAAAUCACAAAGACGGGGGGGGCCAGGGCACGCGCCUAAUGCCCACAGUCCCUUGAUCGGCCACUUGAGAAAGGCGAUAAUGUGUUUCAGCCUGGGGCUGGGAUGACGACAUUCUGUUUUUUCCCGGGCUCUGAGCGCCCGUGGAAGACGUAGGAAGUGUCACGUUAGAGCAGAGAUCCUUUGUAAAAGAUAGAGAUGGAAAAGAAGUUCAAGAAAUGGUCAGACAGGCCACUUCCUGUAAAGGAAUCUCUCAGGUUUUGACCUGCCAUUUGAGUUCUGUUAUACUCACAGACACCAUUCAAACAGUUUUAGAAACUUGAGUGUUUUCUAUCCAAAGCCAAUAAUUUUAUGCAUAUUCUAGUUACUGGGCAGGAGUAGUAACCAGAUUAAAUCGGGUACAUUUUUUAUCCAGCCGUGAAAAUACUGCCCCCUAGCCAUAACAGGUUAACUGAUCUAACAUCAAUACCUUUAUUUCCCUCUCCAUUCUUCUUUUCAUUAUCUCCCAUUUAUCUAUCUAAAUCUCUUUCUCGCUCUCUCUCUCUCUUUCUUUCUCUCUCGCUCUUCCUCUCUCUCUGUUUGUGGCUCUUUCUCUCUCACCCUAUUUAUUUUAUUCUCUCUCAAUUUUUUAUUUUUAUGGAAUCACCUGUGCUCCUCAGACCAUAACUUAGAGCUCCAAAAUAAAUAGAAAUCAAAAUUCAAAUUGCGCUUGUGGCAUUAGCAGAAAAAUACAUUAGUCUGAAGGUCAUAAGAGAACAGAUGAAGGCAUCCUAUUGUUCGCAAAUUGUUAGUGAAUAUUUGUUUUUUAUCCCAUAAUGUUAAAAGUAAAAACAAUAUUUAAUGGGUGUAAAAGCAUGAUAAAUCAAAGUUGGCAUCGGUUUCCAAGGUCAAGAUGACCUGGAAUAAUAAAUUCCUAGUUUGUGUUCCAAAUGGAACUCUAGUCCCUAUAUAGUGCAUUAUUUUUGACCAGGGCCCUAUGGAUAUGCUGCCGGUUGGGAUGCAGCCCUAGACUGGAGAUUAAUUCAAUGUUUGGUUUUUCAUUGUGUUCCAUAAUCUUUCCUUUCGCUUUAUUAGUACUGGCAGCUCCACUAUGUUACUUAAAUGAUGCAAUGACACUGCGGACCGAAGGCUACAGUUCAAAACUUUUAUGAAAAGUAUCCUUACAUAUCCGCUCUAUCAUAAGAGAAUGCAGAAACAAUUCUCAAUAAAACUCUUUUUGUUGACUAUUUGUAUUUUAUAGAUUUUCUACAGCACCCCACAAACACAAAAACAAAAUGCAACACAUUCCCCAAA
rnacentral:lncRNA from 1 species